rnacentral:rRNA from 1 species
GACGAACGCUGGCGGCGUGCUUAACGCAUGCAAGUCGAACGGAAAGGCCCUGCUUUUGUGGGGUGCUCGAGUGGCGAACGGGUGAGUAACACGUGAGUAACCUGCCCUUGACUUUGGGAUAACUUCAGGAAACUGGGGCUAAUACCGGAUAGGAGCUCCUGCUGCAUGGUGGGGGUUGGAAAGUUUCGGCGGUUGGGGAUGGACUCGCGGCUUAUCAGCUUGUUGGUGGGGUAGUGGCUUACCAAGGCUUUGACGGGUAGCCGGCCUGAGAGGGUGACCGGCCACAUUGGGACUGAGAUACGGCCCAGACUCCUACGGGAGGCAGCGGUGGGGAAUAUUGCACAAUGGGCGGAAGCCUGAUGCAGCAACGCCGCGUGCGGGAUGACGGCCUUCGGGUUGUAAACCGCUUUCGCCUGUGACGAAGCGUGAGUGACGGUAAUGGGUAAAGAAGCACCGGCUAACUACGUG